rnacentral:misc_RNA from 1 species
AAAAAUAAAGCGGGACUGACUGUUUACGAUUGUGUCGGUUGCGCGACCCUUCCAUGCCGGCUGAUAAAACUUGUCGAUCUGUUUACUGUAAAACAGUCGAUCGACAGAGCUCCAGCGUGGUGGUUCAGGGACAAGUGUCUAGUUACGUCCAGUAAAGGGACAUCGCCAUGAAAAUCAACGUAGCUUUCGUGAACCAUGACCUGAAUCACAAUGUCAAAGAGUGCUUCAAAAAGAAAAAGACUUUCAUUAGCAGAAAAGAGGAAGUGUUGGCGAUUAGAAGUAAAUAUCCCAACAAAGUACCGUUGAUAGUAGAGAAGUACCACAGAGACAAAUGUUUGCCGACAUUGGACAAAACAAAAUUUCUAGUGCCCCAAGAUAUCACCAUGUCACAAUUCCUGGUUGUCAUCAGAAACAGGAUUAGAAUCAAACCUAAUCAAGCGUUAUAUUUGAUCAUCAAUAACCGAUCUAUGCUCAGUAUGAGUUUGACCAUGGCACAAGCAUACGAGGCCUAUUGCGAUGAAGAUGGGUUCCUUUACAUAACUUACGCGUCGCAGGAGAUCUUUGGUUAUCAAGAUACUGUACGUAGAGAGGUAUGUGAGGGAGCGGGAGGUGCCAGCCCUGGGCCGCAACAAGUUCCUCGUGCCACAAGAACUCACCAUGUCACAAUUCCUCUACAUAAUCCGGACGAAAUUGAAACUAAGAGAUUCGCAAGCGCUGUACCUCCUGGUGAACGACAAGGUGCUGGUCAGCCACAGCAUGACCAUGGCGCAGGCGUAUGAACAGUUCCGCGGCCAUGACGGCUACCUCCACAUCACGUACGCAGCGCAACAAGUCUUCGGUGAGGUACAGUCUCCAUAAGAUAAAAUGAAAAAGAAAAAACAAUGUUCCUGCACUCCAGAUGUACCUAUAAAGACUGAUAGUAUUUUAUGUUGUUUUCUAACGUUAGCAUUAAGAAUAGUUUUUUUAAUUUUCCCUUUUAAUUACUUUAUAAAAUAUUUCUAAGGGUCUUAGUAGAGUCAAUAAAGCAGCUCAAAUUAAUUUCUUACAUGUCAGGGAUAAUUCCGAUCUUGAUGAUUUGUUUUGAGGUGUACUUAUCAUAUUAUAUAAAAUCAGAAACAUCGUAAGGGGUGUAAAUGAAUGUUUCGACUAUAUUAAAAAAAAAAAACGUUUCCUUUGUGGGGGCCCCCUUUUUUAAUAUUCUGGUUUUUCAUUACUUUAUAUAAUAUCCGCUAUAGCACAGAAUGUAGCAUAGCACGCAUAACACAUAACAUGUGUAAAUUGAAACAGGGUAACAAAUAUACAUAUAUAAAUAAUAAAUAUUCACAAGCAGCUGUCCUUUUAAAGGUAGAACCUUCAUACUCUCUAAAAUAAAAUAAAACGGUUUAGUGAUACUAACUGUACAGUAUCAUAAAAUUACUUUUUUGUUCGAAUAAAAAACAAAACAUUUUUAAAAUAUUAUUUCGUUUUUAAAUAAUAUAAUAAAAUACACCUCAAACAGAAAAUUAAUCAAAAUCGGACUUAUGCCUGGCAAAUAAGAAGUGAAACCCUUCAUUGACUUCACUUUCAAUUCAAAUGUUGAAUUUUAAAGGCCGGUCCUAUAAAAAUGAUGUUAUAAGAAAGAUGCUAUAAUAUUGACUGAUAGAUAUUAUAGAUUGAUAGAAUUAUAUAUCUUAAAAUAUUGACAUUUGUGAAAUGAAUGUACGAAUCCUUUUUAUGAUCUCAAAAAUAUAUAAUGUAUUCAUUAUUUCUAAGCAAUAAAUAGUCUUUUCAACACUUUAUCUACAUUUAAAACGAUCAGGAAGUUGCAAUAUCUUUCAGUACGUUUCAUCCACAUUGUGAGCAACCAAAAAAUAGGAUAAUAUCGUUAGAAAUUAUGUUAGGUUAGGUUACGAAACUAUUAUUAUGCUUGUUAUAUAAUCUGUAGAAGUUAGUGUAAUUAUUUAUUGCCUGUCCUGUACUGAAACCGACUUAUAUCAAUAAUAAAAUAACUAAAAUUAAUUAUUUAAA